ACAUUUUAGUGUCGUAAGGGAGCCCUUACCUGAUUUGGACCCUAUAUAUAUAUAUAAGCAGUAAAAAGGCCACGAAUAACUAUUAACCGACCCUGAAAGUACUGCCGAAGCUUCCUGCUUGCUAUUAUCAGUGCAUAGGAAAACUUUUUAAGGUUCAGAUACCUUGUCUCUGCAUCCCUAAGGGCAUGGUUUACAUAGAAAAUCAGGUGCUACUUAGCCUCGAUCUCCCGCACCAAAACUGCUCCCA
rnacentral:lncRNA from 1 species